GACGAACGCUGGCGGCGUGCUUAACACAUGCAAGUCGAACGGAAAGGCCCUGCUUUUGUGGGGUGCUCGAGUGGCGAACGGGUGAGUAACACGUGAGUAACCUGCCCUUGACUUUGGGAUAACUUCAGGAAACUGGGGCUAAUACCGGAUAUGAGCUCCUGCUGCAUGGUGGGGGUUGGAAAGUUUCGGCGGUUGGGGAUGGACUCGCGGCUUAUCAGCUGGUUGGUGGGGUAGUGGCUUACCAAGGCGUUGACGGGUAGCCGGCCUGAGAGGGUGACCGGCCACAUUGGGACUGAGAUACGGCCCAGACUCCUACGGGAGGCAGCAGUGGGGAAUAUUGCACAAUGGGCGGAAGCCUGAUGCAGCAACGCCGCGUGCGGGAUGACGGCCUUCGGGUUGUAAACCGCUUUCGCCUGUGACGAAGCGUGAGUGACGGUAACGGGAAAAGAAGCACCGGCUAACUACGUG
rnacentral:rRNA from 1 species